GGAUUAGAUACCCUGGUAGUCCACGCCCUAAACGAUGUCAACUAGCCGUUGGGGGAAUAAAAUCCUUUAGUGGCGCAGCUAACGCGAUAAGUUGACCGCCUGGGGAGUACGGCCGCAAGGUUAAAACUCAAAGGAAUUGACGGGGGCCCGCACAAGCGGUGGAGCAUGUGGUUUAAUUCGAUGCAACGCGAAGAACCUUACCAGCCCUUGACAUCCUCGGAACUUGGCAGAGAUGCCUUGGUGCCUUCGGGAAUCGAGAGACAGGUGCUGCAUGGCUGUCGUCAGCUCGUGCCG
rnacentral:rRNA from 1 species